AUUGAACGCUGGCGGCAGGCCUAACACAUGCAAGUCGAGCGGAGCGGCGGACGGGUGAGUAAUGCCUAGGAAUCUGCCUGGUCGUGGGGGAUAACGUCCGGCAACGGGCGCUAAUACCGCAUACUAUCAGAUGAGCCUAGGUCGGAUUAGCUAGUUGGUGGGGUAAAGGCAUACCAGGGCGACGAUCCGUAACUCGUAUGAGAGGAUGAUCAGGCACAUUGGAACUGAGACACGGCCCAGACUCCUACGGGAGGCAGCAGUGGGGAAUAUUGGACAUGGGGCGAAGUCCUGAGCCAGCCAUGCCGCGUGUGGGAAGAAGGUCUUCGGAUUGUAAAGCACUUUAAGUUGGGAGGCGUUACCAACAGAAUAAGCACCGGCUAACUUCGUGCCAGCAGCCGCGGUAAUAC
rnacentral:rRNA from 1 species